UAACGUUAGAUUUGGGACUGCGCGCUGCU
rnacentral:sRNA from 1 species